AUAGCACUGAAUGCAUAUUUACAAAAUUAUUCCCUAAGGGUACUCUAGAAUCCUGCACUUUAAUUCCAUCAUAAUUUUACCAUAAAUAUAAGAAUGCCUGUGACACGAGGGACACCAUGACAGGAAUGGGGCUGAAGACUGGGACUUUUCACUGCUCUGUGACAAUGUGCAUCAGACAACUGGACAGCACCCGAAGACAUGAAGGGACAGUGUAGGCUCUAAGUUGCUGUGCUGCUGGUUGUAAAAAAACAUUCAGGAAAAUGAACAGUCCUUUUCUGUUGUAUGAC